GAUGAAGAACGUAGUGAAAUGCGAUACUUGGUGUGAAUUGCAGAAUCCCGCGAAUCAUCGAGUUUUUGAACGCAAGUUGCGCCCGAAGCCAUUCGGCCGAGGGCACGUCUGCCUGGGUGUCACGCAUCGUUGCCCCCCCAAACUCCGGUUCGGGCGGGGCGGAAGUUGGCCUCCCGUGUGUGCCUGCGCGCGCGGUUAGCCCAAAAGCGAGUCCUCGGCGACGAGCGCCACGACAAUCGGUGGUUUUUUUACCCUCGUUCCUCGUCGUGCGUGUCCCGUCGCCCGAACGCGCUCUUGUGACCCUCACGCGUCGCCUCGGCGGCGCUCCCAACGCGACCCCAGGUCAGGCGGGACUACCCGCUGAGUUUAAGCAUAUCAAUAAGCGGAGGA
rnacentral:misc_RNA from 1 species